GGAAGCGCCGUCGCUCAACGGAUAAAAGGUACCCCGGGGAUAACAGGCUCAUCUUCCCCAAGAGUCCAUAUCGACGGGAAGGUUUGGCACCUCGAUGUCGGCUCAUCGCAUCCUGGGGCGGUAGCACGUCCCAAGGGUUGGGCUGUUCGCCCAUUAAAGCGGUACGCGAGCUGGGUUUAGAACGUCGUGAGACAGUGAACGAACCGCGCUGUCUAUAAAUUCGGCUAUAUGCUGGAAACCCCGAGUAUCCGGCGGUACUCGUUCAUGUCACACCCCCUUCGUAGGGUGAUGGCAUGAGCAGUGAAAAUCCGACCGGUGCGGGCAAUCAGCAGGAAAGACUGGACCCCUACAUCGCGGGCUAUGUCGACGGAGAAGGAUCGUUCCACGUCGCUGUUCAACGGAACCCGACUACCAGGGUUGGCUAUCAACUGGUGCCGGAGUUCCACGUCAGCCAAGCGCCAGAACGCCGGCAGGUCCUCGACCUGAUCAGGCAACGGCUUGGCUGCGGACGGAUACGUGAGAACCACCGCGGCUCAGCGGACACCACAUUGGUGUACGUCGUCCGCAACAGGGAGGACCUGAUGACUCGGGUCAUCCCCUUCUUCGAAGCACAGCCACUCUUGAGCUCAAAGCAAAAGGAGUUCGCCACCUUCGCCGCCAUCGUUCAAGCGAUGGCCCGAGGCGAGCACCGCAGUGCUGAUGGGUUCGAGACACUCAAGCGGAUCGCUCUCUCCAUGAAUGGUGGAGGGCGCUAUCGGCGAGUGCACCGAUGGAAGGAUCCAGAAUCCUCAGAGACCAUAUGCCGAACACCGGCUGAUCCCGGUGAAGAUAUGGUCCGAUCUGCAUGGCGACAUGCAGAGUCAGGCAGAAAUGACCUGGCCCCCGAGAACGGACAAGGGUCCGCUCGGCGGUAACAACAAUGUCGGUCCCUAUCCGUCGCAGCCGUAGGAGAUCUGAGGAAGGCUGUCCCUAGUACGAGAGGACCGGGACGGACGCAGCUCUCGUGUGCCAGUUGUCCUGCCAAGGGCACGGCUGGUUAGCGACCUGCGGAAGAGAUAAGUGCUGAAAGCAUCUAAGUACGAAGCUUGUUCCAAGAUGAGAUCUCCCACAGGGUCAACCUGGUAAGGCCCGUGGCCAGAUGACCACGUUGAUAGGCCGGAGGUGUACGCACAGCAAUGUGUUCAGCCGACCGGUACUAAUCGGCCGAGGGCUUGGG
rnacentral:rRNA from 1 species